CAGCAGCAGGCCCUGACUGCCACCCUGUCUCUGCUUCGAUGCUCUCGUGAGGAGCUAAGAGAUGUACAGGGUUUCCUUAGCCAACUGACAGGGGCCUGGGAGGACUGCAGUUCACAGCUACUGGAGAGGAGCAGGGAGUCAUACUCAGUGCUCAGGGAGGAGCUGAGGAGUGUGUGUGUCGAACUCCAGAGGAUCAGGACGGAGAGAGAGAACGUGGAGCAGAAACUCAUAGUUCAGAGCAGAAAGACAGAAGAGCUGGUGAACCAACAGACACACGCCCAGAGGGAGCACAGAGAGAGACUUCUCAGGCUGUCCCAAGAGCUCAGGGAGAAGGAGGAAGGCUGGUUGUCAUGCCAAUGCAGGUGUAACUCUCUACAAUCACAGCUGUUGGCAUGUCAACAGAGAGAGGAGGAGGCAACCCGGAAGUACUCUGUGACUGAGCAGGAAGUGGAAGCUCUGAGGAGAAAACUAGAACACGCCCAACAGAAGAGCAAAGACCUGAGGAG